AUAUUAAAGUUGUUGCGGUUAAAAAGCUCGUAGUUGGAUUUCUGCCGAGGACGACCGGUCCGCCCUCUGGGUGCGUAUCUGGCUCGGCCUGGGCAUCUUCUUGGAGAACGUAUCUGCACUUGACUGUGUGGUGCGGUAUCCAGGACUUUUACUUUGAGGAAAUUAGAGUGUUUCAAGCAGGCACACGCCUUGAAUACAUUAGCAUGGAAUAAUAAGAUAGGACCUCGGUUCUAUUUUGUUGGUUUCUAGAGCUGAGGUAAUGAUUAAUAGGGAUAGUUGGGGGCAUUCGUAUUUAACU
rnacentral:rRNA from 1 species